AUGGGCGUGUUGUGCCGUGACGUACUAGUAAUGGGCGUGUUGUGCCGUGACGUACGAGUAAUGGGCGUGUUGUGCCGUGACGUACGAGUAAUGGGCGUGUUGUGCCGUGGGCGUGUCGUCUUCUGCCGUGUGGCUGCGGCUGCAGAUAGACCUACUUGCUUGUGCCUCUCCUCACGCGGCAACCAUCCAGCGCACCUUCUGCAUCCCCUCGACCCAGCCACACCCCCCCCCCACACCUCUCUCCUCUUCUCCCCUUCUCCCUUUCUACCCUUCUCCCCGGGCGUAUUUGCCAGGAUUACCGCUCCGUCCAGCGGAGCUCUCGGCGAAGAACCGCGGGGAGGCGAUGGAGCGACGGCAGGACUGACAACGGCAAAACGGGCACAGGCAGUGCCCAAACCGUAUGGGUUGACAUGACAUUAAAAAGUACAUUUGCAGUGGUCAAACAUUCCAUGGCCAGCAAGUAAAUGUCACGAUGACAUCACCCCAUAAACCGUAUCUGGAGGAGGUGGGCCUGACUGAGCCCCAGGACACUGCAAAACCACCAACACCUGUGACCUGCAACCAUUGGACUGCACUAGCUGUCAAUCACUCAUCAGCCAAGCACGUUGAGUAGUUCUUGACCUGUUAAAUCUCAAAGUAGACAUCAUUAGACGAUGCCUAUGUGGGAGUGAUAUCACUCCUAGGGCUGGGCGAUAUAUCGAGUUUUUAAAUGAUAUAUUUCCAAACACGAUAUAUGAUAAGACAAUAUUGUGUAUAUCAAGAUUUUUGUUGCUUUAAAAAAACUGUAAGACAGGGAUGCAUUCUCCAGAGAUUGGGGAGAUUUGGUUAACACACAUUUGUCUGGUUUAAAAUGUAUAGAGGAAACAGGAAAUCCCAGGAGUUUCCAGGAGUCUAUGGAUGAGCUGUAAAUUAAAUGUUAUUUAGCAUUAUUGUUAGUUUGUUAGUUUUGUUACUUUUGUUAUCAUGCAAUAUACAUGCAAUAUACAUAAAAUAUCAUAUAUUCAUCUCCUCAUCAGUCCAGAGAAGAGUGACCUUUUGGGGUUAUACUCUCUGUUAGGACUCAUGAGGACUUAGUUCAGUUGCUGCAUUCUCUGUACUGCGGAAGAAAUAUAGAACAAUGGUCAACUUCAUUCUGUCAGUCUCACUUUCAUUCAUGCAUAUGUGUCAAAUCUAUUUUUAAUACUUAUAAAAGUAUAUUAAUACAAACAUUAUUAACAACAACAAUAACAAUUUGUCUUUUUUAAUGACAAUAGUACCACAUGACUGUUUUAAUUCAAUUCAAUUCAAUUCAAUUUUAUUUGUAUAGUGCCAUAUCACAACAUACAUUGUCUCAAGCCACUUUACAUAGUGAGGUCAAUAUUACAAUAUUACAAGGAAAACCCAACAAAUCCCACAAUGAGCAAAGCACUUGGCGACGGUGGAGAGAAAAACUCCCUUUUAACAGGAAGAAAUCUCUGACAGAACCAGACUCAGUUGUGGGCGGUCAUCUGUCUCGACCGGUUGGGGUGAGGAGAGAGAGGAGGAAGAGAGGAGAGGUGGGCAGAAAGAGGGUGGGAGGAGAGACAGUAGGAGAGAAGAGAGAGAGAGGACAGUUGUACAACCGCCGCUUUAAUCUCUACCAGACUGAUACUUAUAAUUAAAAAAUACAAUUAUGUUGUUGUUAUUAUUAGUGAUGAUAUUAAUAUUAUUAAUAAUAAUAAUAAUAACAAUAAUAAUGACAGGUUUGUGUCCUGCAGCUCUGGGGUCAGAGAUACACUAGGAGAGAUAGAAAACACAAACAGGGUUAGUGACAUGUACUGUAAACAUAUCGGGGGAUAGGGGGGUUGUAUAACAGUUGCUUUAAUUUCUACCAGACUGAUACUUAUAAUUAGUGAAAACUGACACUUAUAAAUACAAUGAUGUUAUUAAUAAUAAUAAUAGUAAUUAUAAUAAUGACGGGUUUGGAUCCUGCAGCUCUGGGGUCAGAACUACAAGAAGAGAGAGAAAACAGAGUUAGUGACAUGUAAUGUAGAUACAUGGGGGCAGAGAGAGAGAGAGAGAGAUUGAAAAAAGUGGAAGAAGGAGAGAGAGAUAAAGAGAGAGAGGGAGAAGGAGAGAACGAGAGAGGGAGAAAGAUGCUCAUGAUAUAAGUUCCCCCAGCAGUCUAGGUCUAUAACAGCAUAAUAAAGGAAUGGUUUAUUAAACACCUGAGCAGUUCUAACUAUAACCUUUAUCAAAGAGGAAGGUUUUAAGUUUAACUUUAAAUGUAGACAGGGUAUCUGCCUCCCUGACACAAACUGGGAGCUGGUUCCAGAGGAGAGGAGCCUGGUGGCUGAAGGCUCUGCCUCCCAUUCUAUUUUACAGACUCUGGGAACCACAAGUAGUCAAGUAGUAAGUGAUCUAUUGGGAUAAUAUGAAACUAUGAGCUCUGUAAGAUAUGAUGGAGCUUGAUUAUUAAGGGCUUUGUAGGUUAGGAGCAGUAUUUUGAAUUCUAUUCUGAAUUUUACAGGAAGCCAAUGCAGAGAUUCUAACACUGGAGAAAUAUGAUCUCUUUUUCUAGUUCCUGUCAGAACUCGUUCUGCGGCAUUUUGGAUUAACUGGAGGCUUUUCACAGACUUAUUGGGGCAUCCUAGCAGUAAUGAAUUACAGUAGUCCAGUCUAGAAGUAACAAAUGCAUGGACUAGUUUUUCAGCAUCCUUUUGAGAUAGGAUGUUUCUAAUGUUCUAAUUACUGCCUAAGUUUUUGCAUGUUUUUCUAUGCCUUCCUGUAUUUUUACCAAAGAGAUUCUUUCGCACACUAGAUCAGGAGAUCAAUACAUUUAUAUGGGGAGGCAAGGUCCCUAGGAUCAGUAAAGCAGUUUUGCAGAAGCCAAGGAAUAGGGGUGGCCUUGGUCUCCCUAAUUUCAUGCACUAUUAUUGGGCUGCCAACAUACACAAACUUGUUUACUGGCUAAAAAAUCCUGAUGCAGACUGAUGUAACCUAGAAGCCCAGUCAUGUCAUUCAUCUUCCUUAUAUGCACUGGUCUUUUCCUCUCUCCCUCUUUCCCCAUCCCGUCAUUCGUCAAACCCUCUGGUACAAUCCACUUUAAAAAUAUGGAUACAAUUCCGCCGCCACUUCAAGUUUUCCUCAGCCUCUUUUCUAGGGCAUAUUGGUGGCAACCAUCUAUUUGCUCCCUCCAUUUUGGACUCAACCUUUACUCUCUGGGCCAGGCUAGGCCUUAAAUGCUUCAAAGGCCUCUUUGUGGAUGGUAUUUUUCCUAGUUUCAACACUUUAUGUCUUAAAUUUAAUAUGCCACGCACACAUUUUUUCCGUUACCUUCAGGUCCGUAACUUUGUGCGCACAAAAUCCAAUUCCUUCCCCAGCCUCCCUCAGGAACUACAAUGGGAGAGCCUUUUUGAGCUAUCUCCUACCCAGAAGGGACUUAUAUCUGUAAUUUAUCAACGC
rnacentral:lncRNA from 1 species